AUUGAACGCUGGCGGCAGGCCUAACACAUGCAAGUCGAGCGGAUGAAGGGAGCUUGCUCCUGGAUUCAGCGGCGGACGGGUGAGUAAUGCCUAGGAAUCUGCCUGGUAGUGGGGUAUAACGUCCGGAAACGGGCGCUAAUACCGCAUACGUCCUGAGGGAGAAAGUGGGGGAUCUUCGGACCUCACGCUAUCAGAUGAGCCUAGGUCGGAUUAGCUAGUUGGUGGGGUAAAGGCCUACCAAGGCGACGAUCCGUAACUGGUCUGAGAGGAUGAUCAGUCACACUGGAACUGAGACACGGUCCAGACUCCUACGGGAGGCAGCAGUGGGGAAUAUUGGACAAUGGGCGAAAGCCUGAUCCAGCCAUGCCGCGUGUGUGAAGAAGGUCUUCGGAUUGUAAAGCACUUUAAGUUGGGAGGAAGGGCAGUAAGUUAAUACCUUGCUGUUUUGACGGUACCAACAGAAUAAGCACCGGCUAACUUCGUG
rnacentral:rRNA from 1 species